GGAAGACUCUAGGUUAGUUGCUGCUGUUCAACCUGUCUCCAGGGACCCAAAUCUAUGCCCUAACGUAAUUCAAGAUACUCCUUUGAGAUUACUCCUAGAGGAAAACAAAGGUUACAAUGAGGAAAAGAUCAUGCACUCAGCAGAGAAAGCAAGACUGGAGAAGAUGGCUUAGAGAUGAUAAAGUAAAUAUAUCUCAAUAUUAAGAGAGAGAAAAAGUAACACCCUUCUCCUCCUCUGCAUCCACACACAUUAGUUGUUUACAAAAGUGCCUUGUAGUGACUGCUGGCGGUGUCACUCGGUCCCAUGCCCCAGAGCUAUCACCGGGCCUCAUGGGAGAUGUGACUGCAGCAUCGGACAUGGGACUGUUUGUUCACUCACUUUCUGUGAAGAGAGUUUUGAACUGUGUUUUGAAUAGACAGCAUUUUCUUUGUGUGGUUGGUAAAUAACACAGAGCAAAGUUAGUCAGCAAGUUGCAUAGCUUCUGCAUUCUGAUUCUUUGGAGCCCUUUUGUACCAAGCUUGACAGGAUGUUUUUAACAAAAUGUGACCUCACUGGGAUACCAGAGCAGAAGACAGUAAGCGGAUCGAGUCCAGUUCUUCAUCCACGUCCUCAAAGCAGCAGUGCAAGAACUGGGGCGGUGGCAAAUGCAGUGAGACCAGCAGAGAGUGGCCCUCUGGACCCCUGCACAGGCUCACUAGGUAAAGGAUAACCAACUCUUGGCAAUUGCCCUGGAGCCCAGAGUUUGCCUUUGCAGGCUCAUGCGUGCACAUCACACCACCCGUCUCUUCUCCUGACUGCCAAUUCCAUUCCAAUGAGCUGGCAGGGUGCUUGAAUUCACAUCAAUUCUGUUCCGUGAUAUUUUCAUCAAAUUGCCAAGCCUUAAUUGCAUAAGUGGACUACAUGGUUGGGUUUUUUUUUUUUUUGUGCAUGCACACCAAUGUAAAUAGAACUAGCUACAUUAAGUGCUGUCUCUAGGAUAUUUUAUGUUUUAAUGCUCUCUCUCUUUUUUUAUUUUUCUUCCUGAAGGACCACUUUAUGUUCUUCAUUGGUUGCUUCCCAGGUUUCUUCCACGUAUUUCCACUAAAGAGUGUUGUUUUACCCUUAAUUCUACACCUCAGAGAAAGCUGAUUUUAUCACUUUACCAGGGAAUUCAGAAGAUUCCCUGAAAUUCUGCAGAAGGCCAAGUCCUUUAUUGUCUGGUUUCACUGAUACUUGUGUGACUCAACCAAAUGCUCUUACAGGGAGGGUCUGAUUCACUGUCCACAGCUGUGCAUGGGGUCAUGGUCUGACUUUUCCACUGUGAGUGUACAAGCUUGAAAUCAACUUCCAGAGUGACACUGCCAGCAGUUUCAGUACUGCUUCAAUGCAAAGGGCUUAAGAUGGGGAGAAGAGGGGAGGAUAGAACUAACCACUGAAUGGGAGAGACUUUGGAACCAUGCUGAUGAGAAAUGCGUUGACAUUAGCACUUAUGUUCUCUGUUUCUUUUAGUGGUUGGAUAUUUAGUUCUAACACUGAUGUCACAAAGUAUGUUGCAAUGUUUUUUUUCUGGCAGAACAUUUCUAAAGAAACAAGGGUAGUAAUCAAAUUGUAGUUAUAGUUUAGAUGAAGGGACUAGAGUCACAGAUUCUGGUAUCGAUGUUGAAAAUGAAAAAUAUUUACAAUAUACAUAACAAGCACUUAAUAGAUUCUCAGUGUGAAGUUAUGAAGUAGAAUUAUUUCUAGCCAUCUUUGGUCACUGGUAACUCUUUCCAUACUACAUAAUACUAUAGUAAAGUAAAAGGUGAGGGAUUUGCCUGAAUGCUGAUCUAAUAGAAUACUCAAGAAACAGUAACUUACACAAAGCUGAAACACAAAACCUGUUUAUUCAAAGGUUUUCUGAUUCCAUUACCCUAAAAAUAUGGAGAAUUUGUCUUUGAAUAAGUCUUUGAAUAAUGAGCCCAAUUUUUCCUGAAAGAAUAUGUGUACCUAAAGAAACUUUUUAUUUUGUGUCAGAAACAAUUGGUCAUGUUUUGAAUCUGAACUUCUGAAUAGCUAAUGUUGUAGAUACACUCCAUUUAAUUAGCUGGCUAUGGCUGAAGAAGCUUCUGCUGCCGUGUUAAUUCCUAUUGACCAUUACUAGCCUUGUAAAUGAAUGAAGUUACAUCACCAAAAUAAAAUCUUUACUACUUGCUUUCA
ensembl:lncRNA